rnacentral:rRNA from 1 species
GAUGAACGCUGGCGGCGUGCCUAAUACAUGCAAGUCGAGCGAACAGACGAGGAGCUUGCUCCUCUGACGUUAGCGGCGGACGGGUGAGUAACACGUGGAUAACCUACCUAUAAGACUGGGAUAACUUCGGGAAACCGGAGCUAAUACCGGAUAAUAUAUUGAACCGCAUGGUUCAAUAGUGAAAGACGGUUUUGCUGUCACUUAUAGAUGGAUCCGCGCCGCAUUAGCUAGUUGGUAAGGUAACGGCUUACCAAGGCAACGAUGCGUAGCCGACCUGAGAGGGGGAUGGGCCACACUGGAAGUGAGACACGGUCCAGACUCCUACGGGAGGCAGAAGUAGGGAAGCUUCCGCAAGGGGCGAAAGCCUGACGGAGCAACGCCGCGUGAGUGAUGAAGGUCUUCGGAUCGUAAAACUCUGUUAUUAGGGAAGAACAAAUGUGUAAGUAACUAUGCACGUCUUGACGGUACCUAAUCAGAAAGCCACGGCAAACUACGU